rnacentral:rRNA from 1 species
GAAUAUUGGACAAUGGGCGAAAGCCUGAUCCAGCCAUGCCGCGUGUGUGAAGAAGGUCUUCGGAUUGUAAAGCACUUUAAGUUGGGAGGAAGGGCAGUAAGCGAAUACCUUGCUGUUUUGACGUUACCGACAGAAUAAGCACCGGCUAACUCUGUGCCAGCAGCCGCGGUAAUCCAGAGGGUGCAAGCGUUAAUCGGAAUUACUGGGCGUAAGGCGGGCGUAGGUGGUUCGUUAGGUGGGAUGUGAAACCCCCGGGCCCAACCUGGGAACUGCAUCCAAAACGGGCGAGCUAGAGUAGGGCAGAGGGGGGUGGAAUUCCCUGGGUAGCGGUGAAAUGCGUAGAUAUAGGAAGGAACACAAGUGGCGAAGGCGACCACCUGGGCUCAUACUGACACUGAGGUGCGAAAGCGUGGGAGCAAACAGG